UUUCCUGCAGGGCCCCUGGCCCUGGGGCUGCCUCCUCUUCUGCCAGGCCUGCCUACCUCGGGGUAACAGUUUCCAGACAGCUCUUUUCCAUGAAGGCUGAAGGCUGAGCGUCCCCAGUCCUGCCUGCCUUUCAGUUGGCUGAAAACUUCCACCUGGUUCUCAAUCAGAAGGCACAGUAGAGCAGCCAGGUGGCCUCUGAGGUCCUUUAGCAUCCAGCUCUUUUCUUUCCUCAACCUGAGCAGUUCCCAAGCUGGAGUCCUCAGGCCCGGCCUGUUCGGCUGAGCAGCGUGCAGACGCAAGCUGUAUCGAUCCGAAUCCAACGCCAGCCCACGCGGCCCUGGGAGUCUGCAGUCAACGCCCGCACGUAGGACUGCUUGGCCUUGCAUUCCGAGAGCCAGUGCCUCCGAUCCACGCCGCGACAACCCCCUCCGCCCACUCCGCCCACACCCGGGCCACCUUCCCCAGCGCUUUCGGCCUUGCAUCGCGUCUCGAAGAAGUACUGACGCAGGGGACUGCCACCUGCUGCAGGCACCUCGCCCAGCACCUCCACCUCGCGCCCACGCAAGUCCACAGCCGUCCGCCGGUCCGUCACCCAGCCACUCACUGCGUCGCACACCGCCAGCUCACCCCGGCGGCUCGCGGGCGCAGUCUCACUCACCCCACGCCGGCUGCGGUUGGCUGGGGUCGCUGCCGGCUCCCCAUAGGCUCCGGCCUCCAGCAGGAAGAGGAGAGGGGGCCCAGCAGGGGCGCCCCUUGACAGGGCCACACGGGGCGACAGGAGGUCCCACUCAGGGGCCAGAAACGGGGGCAAGGUGGAGGAUGGGGGUUGGGGCUCCAUGGGGACGCUGGGGAGGAGGAAAAGGAAAAGGAAGAAAGAGCGGGAGUGGUGAGGGAGCAUGGCUUGCACACCUGAAAAUGGAGAAGAAGGAAGACGCCUGGGUAAUAGAAGUCAGGGUCCCCCCUGUGCCCCCCCCCACGGCUGUCAGCCUGGCAGACUGUGGGAGGACGUUAGGGGCACCCUGUGUUCUAGAACUUGGAGAAUGCUUAACUCUUAGAUUAAUAGUAACUAUUCAGCUGGUGUGAAUGAAUAGCCAA